rnacentral:sRNA from 1 species
UGGAGAAGUUGGAAAUUAGAGACCCGGGAGGACAUUUUUGACACUCAUUUAUUUUUCUAAAAAGGAAUCCAAGGGUUGGUGGUGUGGAUGUGUGUGUGUGUGUGUGUGUGUGUGUGAGUGUGUAGAGAUGGGUCCUAUCCAA